rnacentral:snRNA from 1 species
GUCCCAUAUGGGACAUCCGAUCAAAUUGGAACGAUAGAGAGAAGAUUAUCAUGGCCCCUGCGCAAGGAUGACAUGCACAAAUCGAGAUUCUCAACCAGAUUAU